UACUAAAAUUUAUAUUUUGAAAUAAUUUAUCAGAAAAUAAAUUCAUUAAAAGUAUAAAUUGUGUUGUACCAAUAAAUAAAUUCCCAGAUAAGCAAGCCAGAAAAAUUAUGCAAUGAAUCAUUAUAUCCCACCAAUAAAGUUUUAUAACAUAUUCUGUUGUCACCAAAAAUAUUACUGUUUGCAUUUAUAAGUUUAUGUUUACUCAUUUAUUACUAUUGCCCUUAUUGCAUGUUAUAAAUAAAAUAUUUUUACAUGAAAAGGCUUUAUAUUAAGGUUUUGGUCCAGUUUUGCUAAAAUAUAAAUUCCAAAACCCUAUGCUGAAUUAAGUGUGAAUCCACUGUUAUGCCAACCAUUCGAAUCAGAAUCACCUGGAAUUCUUAUUAAAUAUACAAAUCCCUUGGCCUCACCCCAAACCUAUUCUGUCAAACCCCCUUGGGAAGGCAGGGCUGCAGGGAAACAUGAGCAUUUGCCUUUAUAAUGAGCUCCCAAAGUUCCUUUAACCACACUUCCUUUAUUUGCUUUUUGAAGAAAGGGCACUGCGUGUUAAUUUUGCAUUUUCCCCCACAAAUUAUGUAGCAGGCUCCACCUGAGAGGAAGUAAACUUUGAGAUCAUUUUAUGACUGAGAAGACUGAAAUCCAUGAGGGUUGAAUGGCUCAGCCGUGAUUUCAAAGCUAGCUAUGGAGAACAAAUUUCUAGACUUUGAAUUUGAGAGGAUAGAGCCUGGAGCUGAUCAAGAACGAAAAAGCUCCGGAAAUAGAGACCAGUGAUUAUCACACACCAUGGUAAAUGUACAUAUUGUCACUGAAUUAUACAUUUAAACAUGGUUAAAAUGGUAAGUUUUAUGUUAUAUGCAUUUCACUACAAAUUAACCUCUUUGCAUCUUAUUUUCCAUCCAUUUAAACCAAUAAUAGUAAUAUUUUCCCUGAAAUACUAUUUUGAGAAUUAGAGAUAAGUGCUACAAAAUUCAUGAUGCUCACAUUUGGAACAUAAUAAAAAAUUAUUAAAAUUAUUGUAAAAGAAAAAAUACAACAGAGAAAACCAAAACACAAAUGGAUUUAAAUGAUUAACAAAA
rnacentral:lncRNA from 1 species